rnacentral:rRNA from 1 species
AUUGAACGCUGGCGGCAGGCCUAACACAUGCAAGUCGAGCGAGCGGCGGACGGGUGAGUAAUGUAUGGGGCCUGCCCGAUAGAGGGGGAUAACUACUGGAAACGGUGGCUAAUACCGCAUACUAUCGGAUAACCCAUAUGGGAUUAGCUAGUAGGUGGGGUAAAGGCGAACCUAGGCGACGAUCCCUAGCUGGUCUGAGAGGAUGAUCAGCCACACGGGGGAGGAGACAAGGCCCAGACUACUACGGAGGUAGCAGUGGGGAAUAUUGCAGAAUGGGCGAAAGCCUGAUGCAGCCAUGCCGCGUGUAUGAAGAAGGACUUAGGGUUGUAAAGCACUUUCAGCGGGGAGGCGUUACCCGUAGAAGAAGCCCCGGGUAACGCCGUGCCAGCAGCCGCGGUAAUAC